GGGCGGUUGGCACAGUUGGUAGCGCGCACGCUUCGCAUUGUUGCAUAUGCGUGAGGUCCAGGUUUCGAAUACCUGAUCGUCCA